GAACAUCAGGGGGUUGGAGACAGAAGGUUUCUUCCUGCAGAAGGUUUCUUCCUGCAUGUUAAUUGUUGGGUUUAAAUCCUGUCUCUCUAAAUAAGACAGGUGAAAAGUCAGAGUGAGUGUGAGUGAGUGUGAGACAGAAGGCUGUCUUGACGUAUUCCUCACAGAGACAAGGUGUGAGAAUUACAACAGCAUGGAGUUUUAAACCUUGAUGGUUAUUGUAUUCAAUCAUAUUUUCCUAACAUGACUGCAGCAUACAAUUUAAUAAAACAAAAACAUAGAAGUACAUGAUUAUUAAAUCAGCAUUAUUUAAACAUUUAUCUCAACAAAAGCUACCCCCUUCCCUUCCAUGACUUCCUAAAUAGGCGCAUUGUUCUUUCGGAAUUCUGAACUGACGAACAGAAAACGAUUUAGAGACGAUUUACGUGUUUUUUUUUACCCUGUAAUCCGACUCCACUUGGAACCGUUGGUACCCAAAUGGUACCCAGGCUCUAAUGACCCUCACUGAAUGCAUGACGUCAAUGGAUGAAUGUGUGAUGAUCCCAGACAGGGGCGCGGAAUGGGGGGGGCAGAGGUAAGACGUAUAAAUAUAUUAGAACAUUAGGUAUAAUGACAUUCUGUCAUAAUUAGCUAAAGUUGAUAGUAUUUCUUUGUUACUGAAGAAAGUUUGUAAUAUAGCUUGACUAAUUGUUCCAACUCUGCCAUGUCCACUAUCAGGUAGGCUAUGCAAUGCACACUGAUCGAAUGCGUUAUUCUCUGCAUAUAAUUUCGAUUUUUAUUCUCGAAAUAUAACAAUUUUUUUCUCGAAACACAACAAAUUUAUUCUCGAUAUUUAAUGAGUUUAUUCUCAAGAUUGUAUUUCGACUUUUUUUCUCGAAAUCUAACGAAUUUAAUCUUGCAUUAUAAUGACUUUAUUUUUUUUAUUACUGCUUGGCACUAAUCCUCUUCUGUAGGAAGGUGGGUGGAGGAAAUGUACCUGUUAUCUUGGUCCAUUGUGAAAUAGGCUACUUUGGCACCCCUAACGUUAGUUACUUAAUAUCUUCAAAGACAAUUCUGAGUGUUUACAUUUCGUUCCUCUUUUAGCUGACAUUUAAUCAAUGUAGGCAAACUUUUUGCAAACUAUUGAUACUAAAUCUGUUGUUCCUGCCCCUGCCUGGUGCCAGGCCCAACAGAUGCAACUUCAGGCUCAUCAGCCCUGUCUGUCCAUCCUCAUAACCCUCAACCUGCCCUACUCCCAACUGAAAGAGGUCCUUGAGGGAGAUGUGAGGGACAAAAUCCGUUGGGGAGCAGGAACAACCUGAGAACAUGGAUCUGUUUGCACAAAAGAAAUAAAAACAAAAUAAGAAUGGUGAACUGAGCAAUUCUUGUUGCAAGAAUUGUCCAUUUGAGAGUUGUGUGUGUAUGUGGGGAGGGGUUAUAGAUUUUAUCCAGUUGAGUGUUGUGUGUGUGUAUUUGGGGAGGGGUUAUAGAUUUGUCCAGUUAAUGGUUGUGUGUGUAUGUGGGGAGGGGUUAUAGAUCUGUCCAGUUCAGGGUUGUGUAUGUAUGUGGAGAGGUUAUAGAUUUGUCCAGUUGAGGAUUGAGUGUAUAUUUGGGUAGCAGUCUAUAGUCAGUUUGACUCCGAGGGCAUGUUCAUGAAGCCUACUGCUUUUUGGUCCUGAUAGACCUCAACCUUCUAUUACCAGAGGGGAGAGUUCUGAAUAUUCCAUUUCCAGGGUGAGAGGGAUCAGCCCCAAUCUUUGUCACUCAUAUAUUUCCUGGAGGUGUGUAGGUCUUGUAAAGAUGGUAGAUUGCAGCCAGGCACCCUCUCUGCAGAGCGGAUGAUGCACUGCAGCCUGCCUUGUCUUUGACAUUGGCUGCAGCGUACCAGACGGUGAUGGAGGAGGUCAGGAUGGACUCUAUGAUGGCAGUGUAGAAGUGCACCAUCAUAGCCGUUGGCAGGUUGAACUUUUUUAGCUGUCACAGGAAGUACAUCCUCUGCUGAGCUUUCCUUUGUAAGCAAAGUGAUGUUCACCUCCCAAUUGAGGUCCUGGGCGAUGGUGGUACCCAGAAAGCGAAAGGACUCCACAGAGUUGGCUGGGGAGUCACCCAAGGUGAUGGGGGAAAUGGUAGCUGGGCUUCUCCACUGUCUUUAAGGUGUUGAGCUCCAGGUUGUUUUGACUGCACCAGGACAGAUGGUCUAUCUCCCACCUCUAGACAGACUUGUCUCCAUCAUAAAUAAGUCUGAUGAGGGUGGUAUCAUCUGCAAACCUCAGGAGCUUGACAGAGAGUGUGGAGGUGCAGCUGUUGGUGUUCAGGGAGAAGAGUAGGGGAGACAGGACACAGCCUUGAGGGGAGCCAGAGUUGGUGGUCAGGGGGUCAGACAUGUGCUUCCCCAGCCUCAAGUGCUGCCUCCUGUUGGA
ensembl:lncRNA